ensembl:lncRNA
CAAGCGAGUAGUGGACCAGUUGGCAACGUCGUUUCAGCAGCUGGUGGCCCAGGUCCAGGAAAGCGGGAAUGAGGGAGGCGAGACCUCCACUCCAGAAGCUACCUCUGAGAACAAGAAAAACAGGUGGUCAGCCAGGGAGGAGCAACCGAUCUCCGCCUAAAGGAGGAGGAGCCGCCGUUGGAGGCCUGCAGUGUUGUAUGUUGGAGCAGCGGUUUAUCGGCAGCUGAGAAGAAGAGGUUGGAUAAACUCAUCAGGAAGGCCAGCUCUGUUCUGGGAUGCACCCUGGACCCAGUGCAGGUGGUGGG